UUCACUUGAAAAUAGUGUAAUUCCAGUGG
rnacentral:piRNA from 1 species